rnacentral:lncRNA from 1 species
UCUUGUAAAUAAUUGUGGUAGUGAAUACAUGUGCUGGAAAUUCUAAGAAUGACUGCGCUUGGUCCUUGGUGGAAGUUCGACUAAUGUUUUAAUGAGAUGAACGAUAUUGGUGUGCUACCGGUUCUUGUACAGGUAAAGAUAUCCAUUUGUCCCUUUAAUGUUUCAAUGUUGCAUCUUAUAAUGACCUUGGACUUUGUCUUGUAGUGUCUAGGAUUUUGCAUCACGGUUGCAGAUUGGUAGGCCUCUUGCAGUAAGUAACCUCAAGGCCAUAGACAUCCCUGUUUCAUACUUAUAUGUUGCUUUUAAGUUUAUGACAGUUGUCGCAUUACGCGAAAAACCGGCGGGAAAAGAAGAACAACAGAGCCGCCACCGUGCGUUAUUUAUCCCAAAAAGAGGGAAAGGAAACGCUCAGAGUAAACCUGGGAAAAGACGUGGUCCCAGCGACCAAAGAGAAGGGAUCGGGAGUCGGUUAUGCGAAGGGAAGGUAUUAGCACCUACGCAUCCGUCGUACUCGACGGGAUCCACGCACAAUAGGAAGGAAGAUGGUUGCUAAAACACUGCUCAAAAAAAACAUCUAUACAGGCUGAAGGAGACACAAGAAACAAUAAGACUGAACUCGGCAGGAUAUCGCAUCCUGGGCCUACUUAGUCUAUCAGGCAUAGACAUCAGAGUCAAAGUAGUUCGGACUGGGGAAACGACACAUGCUCGCUAGGAUAUCGCAUCUAUGCCUACGUAUCUUCUUUGGACGAAGAAGAAUCAGAGCAUCGUAGCUCGGCUGACCGCACACAAAAAACACAGGCAAAGGCAAACAUGGAGCCCGACAACCAAAUGAUGGAAUUAUGUCUGCAUCGACCAAAGCACACACAAGGAGGCAAACGUGGAGCCCGAACGCCAAUCACUGGACUUACAUCGACAUCCGAACCAAAACACACACCAAAGGAACCGAAUGCCACUCGAUGGACUUACAUCAGCUUCAAGCACGCAACAAACACCGAUGUGGAAUGCCAAUCGCUGGCUUACAUCAUCUCCUACACACGCAAGGGAAAAAGGGUCUCGAUUGCAACUAGGGCAAGAGAAGGGGAAGGUCUCAAUCGCAACGAGGGCGAGAGAAAAGAAUUAGUGUUAGUUGUUAGUCAAACUCGACAGACAUCGCAUCUCGUGCCUACGUAUCUCAUCUGGACAUGAGAAUCCGAGUUGCCGUUGUUCGGCUAAACUAUUCCUGUUGGUUUAUGUUUUUUAAGGACAACGUCGCUACGCACUACCGCGAUGCUCGACCUUUGGAGACUUACUCACCUGUGGUAGAAGGAGUUGACGUAUCCUUAAGAGGGGAUAAUGUUUGUUUGUGUUUUAGGAAAGCUCAAGCAAGAAAGGAAGUCCUAUGCGAAGGAACCGUGCUACCUUAAUUGACAUGCAAACGAGACUACGCGGAUCUAGCAACCUAGGAGAUAUGAUCACACCACAUAAGCACACACAAACACAUACAGCAUAAAGUAAACACCAACAGGGGGCUCAAACAUCAGGUUAGGCUUUAGUCGAGGGGUCAUAUCAACCUCAACAAACAAGCCUCUGUAUCCUCAGGGUUAGCUUAACCUUGCAUUGAGGGGCUAAGGUGAAGCUAGAUGAAAGGUGAUGAGGGUGUGCCUCAUUGCUUCUAUCUCAAGUCAGAGAGAGCAUCAGACAGGGAGCGUGGGUCCAGAAUGGGGGACCUUCUACGCUCAGGAAUAGACUCGACUGUACAGGUAAAAUCUUGGUGGAUCUCAAUGCUACAACCAUGUAAUGGGAGAAAGAGACUCACUGAAUAGUGGGGGAUAGAUUGCUGUAUCCCUACCUUCCACCAAUUGCCUCAAAUGAGACUUCCUGCUUGGGACAAAUAUAACAUACACAAGCAUGCUCUUAGGAGGACUUCAGACGUUUGCCCGGCGUAACAGCCGGGUCUCCGACUACAUGAGAAGAAGUUUUACUCAAUGCCAAUGCUUAUAAGCAAAGCAAUGCAAGUUCUUAAGAGAACUGAGCACUAGUGUACUGUACAAGUCAAACAGAAUCAGCAUCCCAUUCAUAAUCAGACAACAACAACAAGAAUCAAUAAUGUACAAUCAAACAACAAUGUGCAAGCACGGGCUCAAGCUCAAAUGCUAUGCAUCUACAAACAGCACUUAGAUUACAAGUAUCAAGCAAAACAUCCAAUGUGAAACAAUAUCCUUAAGCUUAACUCCUUAACCUGAAGGCACAAUCAACUUCAAAUGUAAGUAACAUGCACUAGACUAGCCUAGGUCAAAAAGAUGGAAAAAUCCUAAAACAGCAACCAAUUCAUGAUCAAGUCAAGCUAUUUCAAUAACAAAGGUACAAUUGGUCCCUAUCCAAACUAUGCACACAUUUCAAUUUAUGCAACAUACAAAGCAAAAGAGGCAUGUUAAGUCACAUAUAAAUGGCCAGCAGAUCACAUACAAAUAAUGCCAAAAAACAGGUAAAUUCCACAAAAAUAUAUCAUAAACAGGGGACAUUCAACAAGUACAUGUCAAUUUUAAGCCAUUUGGACUAGUGGAACUAUGGGAUUAAUUCAACAUGCUAAGCAUGCAAAAACACAAUCAAUAUGAAGCUACAAAGUACACUACUUCAAUUAAAUGGUAAACAGUGGAUUAAAUGGGAAUGGAUGGGACCAAAGCCAAAUGAAAGCUACACAUGCAGGAACUAUUCUACAAAUUUCAUGGUCAUAUCAUUCAUUCUGCUCAUUCUAUGCACAAAUAGCAACUACUCAAGGAAACACUAAUCCUACAACAGAACUAUUGCAUUCAAAUCCCUACCCAAAACAAUCCCAAAAAAUCAUCCAAAUAAUUUACACCUCUACGGGAUAUUCAGGUAUGGCACACAAAUUCAGCUUAAUGUGGCAAAUGGACCAUGUCAUCAAUGAAAAUCAACAAAACAGCCACAAGUAUAGGCUCCAUCCAAUCACAACCUCAAUAUACAUACUUCCACUUCAGAAAUUCAUAAUUCAAUGAAAACAAAAAAAAGAAAUGGAUGAGACCAAACAGGAUGUCACAUUAUGUGUCUAUACAAGCAUAUCAAAUUUCAUUGAUGAUACGUACAUAUGAGCAUUUCACAAUGAAUCUACCAACCCUAUUGUCAUACAGGCCAAUUUCAAUCAUCAGAAAAUGGAAAAAUCAUUGAUUCUUAGAAAACAACAAUGAUAAACAACUUUCCCAAAAAUUACCAAGCCACCUAACAUUUUAAGACAUCAUACCCAAUUCAACCAUUUAACAAGGAUAGGCCAUAUUAAAAAAUCCAACAAGUUUGGCCUUCAUCAAGAGCGUGUGAUCACAAUUGUCACACUCUUAAGGUUUCAAAAAUCUCAUAACUCCUAUGGCCAGGUAUUCAAAAACUCAUAAGAAAUUUAUAUGGAUAAAAAACCUCAGCCAGUUCAAUCAAUCAAACACAAAAAUUUUUCGCAUUUAUCUACAAUUGAGAUUUUAUGAUCAAAUCAUUCAAAGGUAUCAAAUUAUGCACAUGUGGAAGAAACCCUAGGUCAAAUGAAAAAUAUUCCAAGCACAACUUUGACCAAUAGGUCAAAAAUCAUCUACAGUCAAACACCAAGUCAACAAAAUUAUUUCCAUAAUUUUUGGAUUUUUCUAUAAUUUUAUAUGAUUUUUUAAAGGUAUUAAAGUAUUUUUUGGAUUUUGAAUUUAUUGAAUUAAUUAAUUAAAUAAACUAGUAAUGGCAAUACUGUAAUUUUUAGGGCGGGGGCGGUAAACGCCAUUUUUGAAUUUUCGAAUUGGAUUCAGGAUCUAACACGCGAAUAUCAUCAUCUUCGUUCACAGAUUUUCCAGAAUUUUCAACAAUGGCUCAAGAACACGCCUCUUCCAAAACCUAACCAAAAUGCGCAAUCUUAUAGUCGUUGGAACCGUACGAACGCGUAGAACACGAAUCUUAACUCCAAUUAACCUAAAACUUCCUAAAUCUCAAGAAUCGUUGAACUUAGGGUUUUGGAUCAUAACUUCGAGUUAAGAUUUCUUACACCACAGUUCACCAUUCGAAAAUCUAAACAUAUCCUCGUGAUCUACGCAACACGCACUACCUCACGCACACAAUCAUUCACUAAAGCAAGCGAUUCGAUUUUGGCACCAACCUGCUAUGGCAGUAAUGAUUAGGGACGAAUUUGCACACGAUUUAUCGAAACAGCAGCAGAACAAGUCACAGGAAAGGUGAUGUGAAGCUUGGAUUUGAUCAACUUUGCUCCUGUUGCUCGAAAUUGCAAUUCACCAUGUGAGGACCUCCUUUAAACAGUAGAGAAUGGCGUGGCUAUGGUGAUUCUUCAACACAAACAGAUGGAGUAUUGGAGAGCACAAGAUCAAUGCAAGAAGAAAAUUCCAAAUUGGUCAAGGUUUUAAGGAGUUUUUGGAGAUUUUUGUGUUUUUGAGUUCUUGUGAGUUCUUGGAGAAUUCAAUGAUUUUGAUCCAAAUUUUUGUGAAAAUGAAAUUCUGUUACGUUUAUGCAAUCAUUAGGCUUUUAUACCUCAACUCUAAUCAUGAUUAAUCAAGGGAUUAACCAAAUGGCAAUGUAAGCAAAUGUGCAAUUUUCUCCAAAUGGCCAAAAAUGCCCUUUCUCUAUAACAGUCCAAAUUGCAGCCUAAUUUUGGUUCUAACAUGUCCAAAAUACCAUAUGCAAUGUGUAGAAACAAUUCUCACUUCAAUUGGAUGCCUAUUUUGCAAUUUCACUAUGUGGUAGAAAAGAGUCCAAUUUUGCAUUUCCACUUUUCAAGUCAAAACUCAAAAUAUGAGGCCUAGCCAUGAAAUGAGGAUUCAAACACACUCCAAAUGUCAUUCCUGAGGUGUUAACAAAAGUCCCAUUCCAAAAUUCCAAUAUUUGACAUUUGACAAUUUGCCCUGAUCCAAUUUACAGUGUCCAGUUGAAGGUGACUUUGUGCCUUGGCCAUUUUUGGAAAUUAAUGAAUGCCACCCUUGAUGUACACUGUCAAAUGGUUAGAUUGCUGAUUAUAAAGGAACUUGCAUUUUGACAACCAUUGUGUUAUGCCUCCUGAUUAAGCGGUCUUUUUAAAUUCACUGAGCAUAUACUUUGAAAACCAACAUUGGAUUUUCAAUUGAUUCUGCAUUUUUGGAAUAGGUGAGAAAAGAUCUUCAAUUUCAUGUUGGACAAAUAUCCAUUUGAAGGCUUGUAUGAUGAAGUUAUCUUGGGAGAAAAAGUUUCCAUUUUGACGAGCUGAAAUUACACGGUCCACUUGCCAUUUUUGGAAACUUUUUGCCUGGCUAAUUCGUUCAACCUUGGUCUUUGCAAAUGCCAAAUGAGCUUCAUAUAUGGACAUGAUUGAGGCCUUCAAACUCAUCCAUCCUCCAAAUUCAUAUAAAUGAUCAGUUGACCACAGUUGACCAAGUUUCCUGGGUUUUCUGGUUGACUGAACAAUGACUGGUGACUUUCUGAGCAUCCAAUCUUUGGCAAACCACUUCAAAUGAUCCUUGGACCAUAUGAGCUUGAAAAAUCCACCUAGCUUGUUAAUGAAAAUGGCACUCCUUGUUUGACUGAUUCUCCUGAUCAGUUUGACUGAUUCAUCUACCUUGAGCCUUUGCUACUGUUGGGCAUAUGGACAAUGCAAUGUUAUGCAGUGGACAUUGUUAAUGCUAUGACCUAGUAUGAAAUGAAUGUACAAAAUGGUAGGGUGCAAAUUUGAGGUGCUACAACAGUGUGCAUUUUGCAACAGGUACCGUUGACUUUACCAAAGUAGCCUAUGUCGUGACAAUUCCGACACGGAGGUGAUAACUUCACAGCAUUAUUCUUCAAUGUGUUGGU